rnacentral:rRNA from 1 species
GACGAACGCUGGCGGCAUGCCUAAUACAUGCAAGUCGAGCGAACAGAUGAAGUGCUUGCACUUCUGACGUUAGCGGCGAACGGGUGAGUAACACGUAAGGAAUCUACCUAUAAGCGGGGGAUAACAUUCGGAAACGGGUGCUAAUACCGCAUAAUAUCUUCUUCCGCAUGGAAGAAGAUUGAAAGACGGCUCUGCUGUCACUUAUAGAUGACCUUGCGGUGCAUUAGUUAGUUGGUGGGGUAACGGCCUACCAAGACGAUGAUGCAUAGCCGACCUGAGAGGGUGAUCGGCCAGAUUGGGACUGAGACACGGCCCAAACUCCUCCGGGAGGCAGCAGUAGGGAAUCUUCCGCAAUGGGCGAAAGCCUGACGGAGCAAUGCCGCGUGAGUGAAGAAGGCCUUCGGGUCGUAAAACUCUGUUAUAAGAGAAGAACAAAUUGUAGAGUAACUGCUACAGUCUUGACGGUAUCUUAUCAGAAAGCCACGGCUAACUACGUGCCAGCCGCCGCGGUAA